GCACACGAGUGGGACAUUUAGGAGGGUCUCACUUUGCUCACUCUGUCAUCCAGGCUGAGUGCAGUGGCAUGAGCAUGGCUCCCUGCAGCCUUCAUCUCCUGGCCUCAAGCGAUCCUCCAACCUCAGCCCACCCAAGUAGCUGGACCACAGCGUUGCUUGCAUGGUGGAUCUUUUGCUCAGGAUAAAUCAUCUGAAGACUCUAAGGCAGUUACAGUGACCAACUUUACCUGUUUGCCCAGGACCGAGAGGUUUCCCAGGAUGCAUGAUUUUGGUGCAAAAAGACAGGCCCAAGCAAACCAGGAUGGUUGGUCACUCUGAAGGCAGACCUCUCUGAAGCCCUUCAAGUACUUAUUUGCAUACAUAAUAUUUUUUACUGGUAAACAGUAGUUAUCAGCUGCUCUGCUAAUUCAACAAGGAAUAAUUGCUGAAGGUUAUCUGAUACUAUACAUCUAGUAGCUACUCCAACUAAAAUUUCUAACUUGAGCAGCUUGCAGAGAAGUGCAUGGGAGUGAUGCACACUUCUGGGAUUCCCGAAAUUCCCUAUAUCUGGAUUGUGCUCAGCUGUACUGUAUAUAUUUCUUAACUAGGUGAUAGAUUUCUUUUUGUAAAUAUGUGGUUGUCUAUUAAUAGGAUCACAAUAGUCUCAGAAUUCUAUUUGGUGGCUCAAUAAAUGUAAGCUGAAUGAAUAAA
rnacentral:lncRNA from 10 species